AUGUUUCUUGUGAUUCGAAAAUCUGAUGGCUGAGUUUUCAUGUCACUGUGAGGGAUAGGCUUCUCUCAAACUGUGUUACCACAGCACGACAUUACUUGUCUGACA